ensembl:misc_RNA 7SK 7SK RNA
GGAUGUGAAGGUGAUCUGGCUGCGACACCUGUCACCCACUGAUUUGGCUGAUCGGGCUGGCUAGGCGGGUGUCCCUUCCUCCCUCAGUGCUCCAUGUGCACCCUCCUGAAGCUGCGCACUUAAAGAGGAUGACUGCCCCAACAGAGGAGGAUCAUUCCUUUGUCAAAAGUAUAUAAGUAGCUGUGCUCCCCUCCUCUGCUAGAACCUCAAAACAAGCUCACAAGAUCUAUAUGUAGAAAAAAAAAAAAGUACAGUGUAUAUAUACACACAUACACACACAUAUUUUUUGAGACAGGUCUAU